CACGUAGGGUGCGAGCGUUGUCCGGAAUUAUUGGGCGUAAAGAGCUCGUAGGCGGUGUGUCGCGUCGGCUGUGAAAACCCGGGGCUCAACCCCGGGCCUGCAGUCGAUACGGGCAGGCUAGAGUCCGGCAGGGGAGACUGGAAUUCCUGGUGUAGCGGUGAAAUGCGCAGAUAUCAGGAGGAACACCGGUGGCGAAGGCGGGUCUCUGGGCCGAUACUGACGCUGAGGAGCGAAAGCGUGGGGAGCGAACAGG
rnacentral:rRNA from 1 species